rnacentral:rRNA from 1 species
GAUUAGCUAGUUGGUGAGGUAACGGUCCACCAAGGCGACGAUCCAUAGCCGACCUGAGAGGGUGGCCGGCCACAUUGGGACUGAGACACGGCCCAAACUCCUACGGGAGGCAGCAGUGGGGAAUAUUGCACAAUGGGCGAAAGCCUGAUGCAGCGACGCCGCGUGAGCGAAGAAGUAUUUCGGUAUGUAAAGCUCUAUCAGCAGGGAAGAUAAUGACGGUACCUGACUAAGAAGCACCGGCUAAAUACGUGCCAGCAGCCGCGGUAAUACGUAUGGUGCAAGCGUUAUCCGGAUUUACUGGGUGUAAAGGGAGCGCAGGCGGUGCGGCAAGUCUGAUGUGAAAGCCCGGGGCUCAACCCCGGUACUGCAUUGGAAACUGUCGUACUAGAGUGUCGGAGGGGUAAGCGGAAUCCCUAGUGUAGCGGUGAAAUGCGUAGAUAUUAGGAGGAACACCAGUGGCGAAGGCGGCUUACUGGACGAUAACUGACGCUGAGGCUCGAAAGCGUGGGGAGCAAACAGGAUUAGAUACCCUGGUAGUCCACGCCGU